rnacentral:rRNA from 1 species
CUACGGAGGAUCCGAGCGUUAUCCGGAUUUAUUGGGUUUAAAGGGUGCGCAGGCGGCCAUUUAAGUCAGCGGUUAAAUCGUGGGGCUCAACCCCAUUCUGCCGUUGAUACUGGGUGGCUUGAUUGCGGUCGAGGUUGGCGGAAUUCGUUGUGUAGCGGUGAAAUGCAUAGAUAUGACGAAGAACACCGAUUGCGUAGGCAGCUGGCCAGACCGCAAAUGACGCUCAUGCACGAAAGUGCGGGGAUCGAACAGGAUUAGAUACCCUGGUAGUCCGCACAGUAAACGAUGAAUACUUGUUUUCGGCGAUAUAAUGUCGGAGGCAAAGCGAAAGCGAUAAGUAUUCCACCUGGGGAGUACGCCGGCAACGGUGAAACUCAAAUGAAUUGACGGGG